rnacentral:rRNA from 1 species
CUGCUGCCUCCCGUAGGAGUCUGGUCCGUGUCUCAGUACCAGUGUGGGGGGACCUUCCUCUCAGAACCCCUACGCAUCGUCGGUUAGGUGGGCCGUUACCCCGCCUACUGCCUAAUGCGCCGCAUGCCCAUCCCUGUCCGGCCGAAGCCUUUCCUGCCUCCGGGAUGCCCCGGUGGCAUGUACGCGGGUUUAGCCCGCCUUUCGGCGGGUUGUCCCCCUGACAGGGGCAGGUUGCAUACGUGUUACUCACCCGUGCGCCGGUCGCCGGCGGAGAAAG